rnacentral:rRNA from 1 species
UACAGAGGGUGCGAGCGUUGUUCGGAAUUACUGGGCGUAAAGCGCGCGCAGGCGGCCCUUUAAGUCUGACGGUGAAAUGCCGGGGCUCAACCCCGUGCCCGCCGCGGAUACUGGAGGGCUGGAGACACGUAGAGGCAAGCGGAAUUCCGGGUGUAGCGGUGGAAUGCGUAGAGAUCCGGAGGAAGACCGGUGGCGAAGGCGGCCUGCUGGGCAGUUACUGACACUGAGGCGCGACAGCGUGGGGAGCAAACAGG